rnacentral:rRNA from 2 species
UACGUAGGUGGCAAGCGUUGUCCGGAUUUAUUGGGUUUAAAGGGUGCGUAGGCGGCCCUGUAAGUCAGUGCUGAAAUAUCCCGGCUUAACCGGGAGGGUGGCAUUGAUACUGCGGGGCUAGAGUACAGAUGAGGUAGGCGGAAUUGACGGUGUAGCGGUGAAAUGCUUAGAUAUCGUCAAGAACACCUAUAGCGAAGGCAGCUUACUAGGCUGUAACUGACGCUGAGGCACGAAAGUGUGGGGAUCAAACAGG